rnacentral:rRNA from 1 species
UACAGAGGGUGCUAGCGUUGUUCGGAAUCAUUGGGCGUAAAGGGCGUGUAGGCGGUUUGUUAAGUCAUGUGUGAAAUCCCUCGGCUCAACCGGGGAACGACGCAUGAAACUGGCAAGCUAGAGUACCAAAGAGGGGGGUGGAAUUCCCGGUGUAGCGGUGAAAUGCGUAGAUAUCAGGAGGAACACCGGUGGCGAAGGCGGAUCUCUGGGCCUUACCUGACGCUGAGGCACGAAAGCGUGGGGAGCGAACAGG